UCAUGCAUUUAUUUUUUUAUAUAGCUUCAAUGAUGGCUGCUAUAAUGAACAAAGUUAUAGUGCCCCUGAAAUAUGAAUGGUUUGAUGUCAUGAGUUGUAUUAGAUCUUUAAUAAAAAUAAAUCAUUGAUACAUUUUUUUACGUUGACUGAUGGCAAUACUGAAAUCUGCAGGAAGUGGCCUGAUAUCUCCAUUGCUGAAGACUGAUGCCCUAUUCUCAAGGUAAUUAAUUGUGUAAUGUGAGCUUGACAUUGUCACUAGUGAAGAUGGGCCACGGGAUGCUGCAGAAAGUGUUUACCUGGAUUUACACAACUGCCUAGUAGGAAAAUGGUUGAAUGUUCAUUGCUGUGCCUUGAACUUGUCUACAUGUAAUGCAAGGUUUCAAUUGUUGCACUUGAAUUAUAUUGCAAUGUUAGCAAGAACCCAUCAAGAAUAGAGAUUGAUUUUACAGCUAACAUAAGGUACUUGCUGUUACCCAGCGAGACGGUCCCAAUCGACGUGUGUGGGGCACUGCAGUGGUGGCAUGCACCUCGUGACUGAGAGGAUUAACGCCACGCACCACGUCGUGAAGAGUACGAUCCUGUUAUGUUGUCUUCGAAAUUUCUUCGACUUCCUACACCUACUAGGGAAACUGCAUUAAUUGGUGCUUUGCAUAACUUUUCUCUUUGCAAAAUAUACAAGUGUCGUAA